rnacentral:rRNA from 1 species
UAAAACGACUCUCGGCAACGGAUAUCUCGGCUCUCGCAUCGAUGAAGAACGUAGCGAAAUGCGAUACUUGGUGUGAAUUGCAGAAUCCCGUGAACCAUCGAGUCUUUGAACGCAAGUUGCGCCCCAAGCCUUCUGGCCGAGGGCACGUCUGCNUGGGUGUCACA